UGGGGAAUUUUGGACAAUGGGCGAAAGCCUGAUCCAGCCAUGCCGCGUGAGUGAAGAAGGCCUUCGGGUUGUAAAGCUCUUUCAGCCGGAAAGAAAUCGCGCAGGAUAAUACUCUGCGUGGAUGACGGUACCGGAAGAAGAAGCACCGGCUAACUACGUGCCAGCAGCCGCGGUAAUACGUAGGGUGCGAGCGUUAAUCGGAAUUACUGGGCGUAAAGCGUGCGCAGGCGGUUAUAUAAGACAGAUGUGAAAUCCCCGGGCUCAACCUGGGACCUGCAUUUGUGACUGUAUAGCUAGAGUACGGUAGAGGGGGAUGGAAUUCCGCGUGUAGCAGUGAAAUGCAUAGAUAUGUCACAGAACACCGAUUGCGAAGGCAGCUUACUAUGGUUUUAUUGACGCUGAGGCACGAAAGCGUGGGGAUCAAACA
rnacentral:rRNA from 1 species